GCAAAAUUAUAUGUUUUAGUAAAUCAGAAUUGGUAUCAGCGUUUCUACCAUAAAUUCUAUUUUGAACCUUCUUUGUAAACCAAAUUCUUUUCUUCCUUCCAGGUUUCUUUUCUUAGCUGUGUCUUAAUUGUGUCAUCCCUAAGCAUUAAAGGAAGAGUGCUGACAGUCUGUACUUGUACCCUCAGUGGAAGUAGAGGCACAAAAUGCUUUCUAUUGAUGAAGAAAACCUAAAAGUUAGAACUCCCUUCUGUGACUGAGCAAAUGGGAAGGAAAUUUCCUCAUGAAGUCAAAAGUUGCUAACACUGUGAGGUAAUGCUUUGUUGUCAUUUUGUGCAGCACUUUAUUAGCAAUGGUUCUGUUUUUCACAGUCCUGUUGGCCAUUUGUCUUUCUUGAGAAAAAGUGUGGUGUUCUAGAAAUAAUUUAAUUAUAAGGGUGGAUUAUUUUAUGUUUCCUUUUGUUUUUGAGUUGAAGAUGUUUCCUGGAGGACACUGUGGUCCUAGAGGACGCUGUGGUUAUGGACAUGUUACUGGGGAUGCCUUGCAGUGUCUUUGUUCCUUCUGCUAAUUAACUGAGUUCCCAUUUCACUUGCUCUCUCCUUUGCUGUACAGAACCUAAAUAAGUUGUUAAAUCAAUCCAUUCAACAACUACCUUUUGUUUGUUUGUUUUACUUGCUGUAUUUUUAAGUAGGGUCUCAUCUUGUACUCCAGGGUGCCUGAGACUCAUCAAACAACCCAAGCUGGCAUUUAAUUCAUGGAAAUCUUUCUGCCUCAGUCUUCAAAGUGUUCAUAUUACAAGCAUGAGUCAUCACAGCUGGUAAAUAAUAUCACUAUUACACAUGUUCUAUGGAGCACCACUACAUCUUACUGUGAUCUUCAGUGUGGAUGAUCUUGAAAUUCAGAAGUGUCAGCUUGCAGCAUGGUUUGAAAAUAUCUGUCCAGUUAUGAAAUUUAUGGGCCAGGAAUUUGUCAACGAAACAUGGGUGAAUGAGUUCAUCCUCUUGGGGCUUUUCAAUGACCAGAACACUCAUGUCUUUCUCUUUUUUGUGAUACUUGCAAUGUAUGUCAUAACUGUUGUGGGGAAUUCUCUGAUUCUUCUCAUCAGCCUGGCCAGGAGGCUUCAUACUCCAUGUACUUCUUCCUCAGUGUUCUUUCCAUAGUGGAUCUUUACUAUGGGAAUACUAUUGCCCCACAAGUUGGCUCACUUGGUUUCUGCCCAGAAGCUCAUUUCUUUCCAUAGCUAUGUGUUCCAGCUCUGUGUCUCCUUGGCCUUGGGUGUUUCUUCUUUCUUCUUCCUGAGAGCUAUGUUUUAUGACAAGAAGAUGAGAAAUUAGUGCUCAGGAAAUAUGACUUAGUCUCCCAGAGGAUUUUUUCAUUACUGUCCUGACACUGUUGUUUUUCUUCAAUCAAUAAUUCAGUAGUAAGGAAACUAUGAAGGAUUCUGGAGUUGAAGGGCAGCAAUUACUCAUUAUACUUUCUUUUACUUUACCUUUUACAGACCCUCUAUCAUCUAUCUAUCUAUCUAUCUAUCUAUCUAUCUAUCUAUCUAUCUAUCUACAAUUAUAUUGCCUGCAUGUAUGUGUAUAUACCAAUCAUGUGCCUGACUCCUGGACAAGUCAGAAAAGGCCAAAAGAUCUCCUGAAACUAGAGUUGUAGGUGGCUAUGAGGUGUCACAUGCACUGGAACCCAAACCUGGCUCCUCUGCAAGAACAGCAAGUUCUUGUCACCCCAGAGAAUGUCUAGUCCCUGACGUUCCUUCUUACAGUAAGAUAAGUUUAUAAAACUCACUUAUCUUCAACAAUAAUCCACAUGCUAAUUAAUGAUCUACCGAUAUAUAAGCUUAUCCCAUAUGCUUUUCCCUUUGACUUAAAUAUUUUAAGUCAAAUAUUUUACUUGCUCUUAUCAGAAAUAAUCUCAUUUGCUACCAAAGAAAGAGAGAAAGAAAGAAGAAAGAAAGAAAGAAAGAUGUAGUCUCCCCUCCCCCAGCCUGAAACCUGCUUGCUCAGGGGUGGAGCUUCCUGCUCAUUCAUUCUGCCACGCCCACUACUGGAAUCUGCUGCUUUGCUGUUCCGGAGCCACACACGUGCUCACCUUUCUACUGGACCCGAGAGUAUUCGUUGGGAAUCGUGUCCCUUCCCCCUUCCUUCAUAACUAGUGUCACAACAAUAAAAUUUGAGCUUUGAUCA
rnacentral:lncRNA from 1 species